UACCAGCUCUCCGAGUGGUAGGGAUGAUUAUUGGGCUUAAAGCGUCCGUAGCCGGCUUAGCAAGUCUCCUGUUAAAUUCAGCGACCUAAUCGUUGAGCCGCGGGAGACACUACUAGGCUAGGAGGCGGGAGAGGCCGACGGUAUUCUCGGGGUAGGGGUGAAAUCCUAUAAUCCCGGGAGGACCACCAGUGGCGAAGGCUGUCGGCUAGAACGCGCUCGACGGUGAGGGACGAAAGCUGGUGGAGCGAACCGGAUUAGAUACCCGGGUAGUCCCAGCUGUAAACGAUGCGGGCUAGGUGUUGGGGUGGCUACGAGCCACUUCAGUGCCGCAGGGAAGCCAUUAAGCCCGCCGCCUGUGGAGUACGGCCGCAAGGCUGAAACUUAAGGAAUUGGCGGGGAGCACCACAAGGCGUGAAGCUUGCGGUUC
rnacentral:rRNA from 1 species